rnacentral:rRNA from 1 species
GACGAACCGUCCAAACGUUAUUCGGAAUCACUGGGCUUAAAGGGUGCGUAGGCGGCGCGGAAAGUUGGGUGUGAAAUCCCUCGGCUUAACCGAGGAACUGCGCCCAAAACUUCCGUGCUCGAGGGAGAUAGAGGUGAGCGGAACUUAGGGUGGAGCGGUGAAAUGCGUAGAUAUCGGGAGGAACACCUGAGGCGAAGGCGGGCUACUGGGCCGAUACUGACGCUGAGGCGCGAAAGCCAGGGGAGCAAACGGG